AUGGAUUUGACUAAAAUGGGUAUGAUCCAGCUCCAGAACCCCAAUCACCCCAAUGCCCUGCUGCACAAGGCUAAUCAGAUGCGCCUGGCCGGCACGCUGUGUGACGUGGUCAUCAUGGUGGACAGCCAGGAGUUCCACGCUCACCGGACCGUGCUGGCCUGCACCAGUAAGAUGUUUGAGAUCCUCUUUCACCGGAACAGCCAACAUUACACUCUCGACUUUCUCUCACCAAAGACCUUCCAGCAGAUUCUGGAGUAUGCCUACACUGCCAUGCUCCAAGCUAAAGUGGAGGAUCUGGAUGACCUGCUUUAUGCAGAGCAAUGCCUGAAGAUACUGGAGACCAUCCAGUCCUCGGAUGAAAAUGACACGGAGGUCAACAUGAACGACGGAGGCGCAGAAGACGAUGAGGAGCGCAAGGGACGGCAUGGCAGGAACCCGAAAAAGCAUUCCGUGGAGGAGGGCAGCUACAUGUCGGCUGCCCAGCAAGCACUGACGCUGCCAGGAAUGGUGGAUCAGAGUCCUUCUGUCUCCACCUCCUUCGGCCUCUCCACCAUGAGCCCAACGAAAGCAGCCGUGGACAGCCUGAUGAGCAUCGGCCAGUCCCUCCUGCAGAGAACCAUGCACCCCGGCGCGGGUGCCGAACAGCCCCUGCACGGCAACUCCCACCCCAUGAUGGGAGAGAUCAAGACGGAGAUGAUGCAAGUAGAUGAGAGCGGAGAACACGAGAACCCAAAAGCCAUGGAAUCCAGCGCCUCCAGCAACGGCGAGCGCAGCGGAGAACCUGACAAGAACCGCGAUGGGCCCGGCACCCCUACCAGGAGCAGCGUGAUCACUAGUGCCCGUGAACUGCACUACGUCAGGGAGGAAGGUGUGGGCGACCAGCAGGCGGAGGUCAACCAGAUGGGCCUGGAGGCCAUGGCAGGGAUGACCGAAAAGCACUUGGCGUCACUCUACGGCAUUCCUCCCAACCACAAGAACGAAGCAAUGCUCUCUAUGCCCGCUUCUAUGGCCUCAUCCUUGCACAUGUCCCCAGCAUUGGCCAUGGGGCCCAUUAUAAUUCGGCUUAUCAAACUUUUUCAUUCAGCAUUGUAUUUCACACACACACACACACGUGCGCAUGCAUGCGCAAAUGAGGAGCCUGUAGCCAGUGAAGGAGUCUCCAACCACAAACACAGACACGUAUCCGGAAUGAAGACCUACGGAUGCGAGCUUUGUGGAAAACGCUUCCUAGACAGUCUGCGCCUAAGGAUGCACUUGCUGUCUCACUCAGCUGGUGAGAAAGCCAUCGUUUGUGACCAGUGUGGAGCUCAGUUUCAGAAGGAAGAUGCUCUUGAGGCCCACCGGCAGAUCCACACAGGAUCAGAUAUGGCCAUCUUCUGUUUGCUGUGCGGGAAGCGCUUCCAGACGCAGACAGCUCUGCAGCAGCACAUGGAGGUCCACGCAGGCGUGCGCAGCUACAUCUGCAGCGAGUGCAACCGCACAUUUCCCAGCCACACCGCACUCAAGCGCCAUCUCCGUUCGCAUACAGCAGGUGACCAUCCAUUUGAGUGCGAGUUCUGCGGCAGCUGCUUCCGAGACGAGAGCACACUGAAGGGACACAAACGCAUCCACACCGGAGAGAAACCCUAUGAAUGUAACGGCUGCGGCAAGAGGUUCAGCCUCAAACACCAGCUAGAGACCCACUACCGUGUCCAUACAGGUGAGAAGCCGUUUGAGUGCAAGCUCUGCCACCAGCGCUCCAGGGACUACUCGGCCAUGAUCAAACACCUGCGUACCCACAACGGAGCCUCACCGUACCAGUGCACCAUCUGCCUGGAAUACUGCCCCAGCCUCUCCUCCAUGCAGAAGCACAUGAAGGGCCACAAGCCCGAAGACAUCCCCCCGGACUGGAGGAUAGAGAAGACUUACCUCUACCUCUGCUACGUCUGAAGGAGGGAGACGACGGGGAGGGAAGGGAGCAGGAGGGCGAGGGGUUUGAAGCGCCUGGAAACACAGUCAGGAAAUGGAUGGAUUUGUUGGUGGUGCUGGGCAAGGCGGACAGAAAUCUUACCCCGUCAGUAUAGCAAAACAUUAAAAAAAAGCAUCAUGUUAUAGCCGUAUAUGGGAAGUCCACUCUCUACAUGUCAGCUUACGUCCCAAACGUUAAAUAUGUCUUAUCAGUCAAACGACACACACUUCAACAACGAUUCCUCCUCUUCAUAAGGAUGCCCUCUUCUGGUACAAAAACAGUAGUGUGAACCAGACACAGUGUUUAUCUCUCAGAGAUGUGCAGGAAGCACUUAGACCCUUCAGUGGUAACGUGCCAGUCAGGUACUCCACAGCAAAUAUGAACAGUCAUGUUCAUCAGGGUCAUUACUGCAAACUGGAACGUAAGCUUCCUGCAAAACAUGUUCACGAUGCCCGGCUGACAGUCAGCAUGUAGAUCCCUCCCAUAUGAUUCACAUUCAUUAAGGGCUUAUUGGUUUAACCAGCGUACAAAUCAGCUAAGCUCUCAGUACUCUGCUCAUCAAUGUCAUUUAACUUUUUUUUUUCUCUCGGCAUAGCGCGUAUUACAAGCUGACUUCACGACGACAGUUUUUGUUUGAUGUUGAUUUCUCAAGCGCAACAUUUCGAGUUUAUUUCAAGCAGAAUAACACGCACACACUGUACAUGUUCAUGUUAUCUCCUCCUUCGCUUAUCAAGUCUGAAAUCGCUUAACCGUUCGAAACGAGUAACUUGGCAAUACAUACAGAACAUCCAUUACACACUAGAAAUCUAAUCAACUGUUUAUGCUGUUGUUAUAGAGACCAAAAUGAUGACUGAAGCUGCUUUAGUCAGUGGCUUGCAGACUGAGCGGCACUGUGACGUACAGGGCUCGUCCGCACAUAUCCGUGUGUUCGUAGGUGGUCAUGAGGCUUGGCCUGUCCAGCCGGGAACGCUGGGAUGAAUGAACAGAGCAGAUCAACUCUUUUGGUUUGGUUCCUUUCGCUUUGUUUGUGUUUCCUAUUAUACCUUGAUUUACUUCAGCACAUCGUACUUGAAUUACCUCGUUUUUUUGUGACCUCAUGUGCUAGUGUUUUCAUUUUUCCUUUGUUUCUUUAUAUAUUUGACUGUUUGCUUUGCGAGCAGGAGCGGCGUGUGCUUUUAUGUACUUACGAAAUUAAGUGCCAUGGUGAAGAGAGAUUGUCUUUCGUUCGAAGUUUGUUUUUCUUUGCAUUAAUCUUACCAAACUUGGUAUUAUGUUUUUGUUUUGUUUGUUUGUUUUGUUUUACUAACCCUGCUUGUUGAAGAGCUUGUGGGUUUGGUCAUUUUUGUUGUAAGCUACCUCUAAGUUUUGUUUCUUUUUGUUGUUUCGUUUGCGAAAGCACAUUUGUUGUGUUUUGCGUUAUUUCAACUUCAUCUCACGCUUUCAAGUGUUGUACGUCGGAAGCGACGAAUAUGAAAGGGUAGGAUUUGCUUAUAGGAAAGGCGAAUUGAAAAAAAUAAUCAGAACUUUCCCUAUCAGUCCCCCCCACCCCUGUAAAUUGUUACCUUAAGAGCAGAAAAGAGAUUUCUGAAGCCUUAAGUUCGGGGUCGGAGUUGAUCUGGGAGGUGCGUAUGGAACAAGUGAAGUGUAGUACUUUAAAGUCUGGAAAAAAAAAAAACGUUAAACUUGAAAAUAUGUGAAUAGAAUUGUAGUUUUGUAAUGUGAAAAAAGAAGGUUCACAGAGCGUGAGCCGCCAAGAACAGGUCAUAUGCAGCAGUGCAUUGUGCGUUGGACAAUUGGGACUGCAAGUGGUAAUCAAAGACGAAAGGAAGAAGAAAAAAAAAAAACGAAAAAUCCUGUCAGUUGACAUGUUUCUUUGUAUGAGUGUAGUCCUGAGCAAGAGCCAACAGAGGCCAUUUGAUAUAUAAAAUUGUGAUAUUUUUGUAUUAAGUGUCAGUCCCUUUUUUCCAUUUGUUGAGGUUGCAGCGGGGCAAAACUUUGUAGUUCUUUUUUUAUAUCAUUAUUCUCUCGUUUGAAUCGUUUGCCUUGCUCCUCUUCGGUAAUGUUGGACAGUGCGUGAUCCUAUAGUGGUAAAUGUUGCUUUCUGGAUGUCAAUACAUUGCAGGUGAAGGACUAAAUCAGCCACAUUCUCCUUUGUGAAAAUAACAACAAACAAACAAAACUAAAAAAGAUGUGAUGCCAAUGAUCAAUUCCAUUGCACACGAUAUCUCAGACAAAACAAUCAAUGUUGCCAACGUUUUGUUUUUUACUUGAAGUGACUAAAAAAGAAGGGAUGGGAAGACGCGUCAAAGGAAACGUUAAUUGUCGUGUGUCUUGCCGUUGUUUUCUGGAAAACACUGUGAGUUUGGGCAUACUUGCCCCCUGUGAGAAUUUAAAAACUAGUAGCGCCAUGAAAAAAAAAAGGCAGAAAUAUAUAUUUUGUUCUGUAAAUGGAUAAUGUCGACUGAUGUUAAAUGGGUAAAACAGAGUUUUGCAAUAUGUGGCAACAAUACGAGAUAUUAAGUCACAUGUUAGUGUACCUUUUUGAUUUUGUACUUUGCUUUGAGUGUUUUCACUGUGUGUGUGUGUGUGUGUGUGUGUGUGUGUGUGUGUGUGUGUGUGAGCACGUUAGUGUCAAAUGCACUAAUCUGAAGUCAUAUUCUAUGCCACUUUUCUCUCACCGUGAUUAAAAAAUAUUGGCAUCGAUAUAGUUCUUCCCUCAAUGUUCUUCUGAUGUUUCUGUAAUAUCUUUGUGCCUAAAUGAAAUUGUUCAACAAAUUGUCCACAUAUAUCUGCUUAGUUUCUGUAUUUUCAAGAAAAUUAUUGGUGUCUUCAGGGCUCCAGGGGUGCCAUGAUGAUCUCGGAUGGAUUCACUUGAGACGAUUUUUGUUACGUGAUGAUCAUUUGGUCUAUUUUCAGUGGUUCCACUGGCGACCGAUCAGUAUUGUAGUGUUUUAUACACAGCUCGACAAAGACAAGCCAAACAUUCCUUGGAUCGGAAUAAGAGCGUUUUUCACAAUGAAUAUUCUGCUUUGAGGGGGAAAAAUUGAUGUUUGAGAAUCAAACUUACUUUCAUUUCCUCAUUCUUUUUUUGCCUCAGCAACAGGUUUGCUGAUUAAACUUUUCAACCAUGUCCCUUUAACAUUCGGCAUUUGUACUGCCCCUACUAGACAUUUUUAUUUGUUGUUUAAAGUACUUAUGUUAUCAUUGCAUCCCUGGAGUUGGCUCACUGUGUUCCAGUGUGGUGUUCUAGAAAGAGUAGCCAUUUCAUGCUGUGUUGCCAUGCAUGUGCCAUUGAGGUCAAAACUAAACUGUUUGAGUAACAAAGCACCAAGACGUUGUCUUUUUUUUAUAUUAGCACUGAGGACCAAUUGCCCUGUCGGACCAAGCAUAACAAAGCUUUUUAUGUAACAAAGCAGUUUCUCUCUUCCCCCUCUCCUUCUCUGGCUUGUCUGUAUUUUUUUCCUCCCUUGUGACAGCACAAGUGCCAGUCCUGUUGCUCUUUAAGAAUAUAGUGUUUUGUUUCUGGGGAUUUUAUUUUUGUUUGUUCUAUUAUUAUUAUUUGAAUUGUUAUAGUUACGUCUACCUCAGCACCUAAUCUUAGCCUAAUCUUAGAAGGUGCCCAAUUAUUAUUAUUAUUUUUUUCAGUUUGUUGUCAAUUGUACAAAUUUUUAUUUGCAUUAGAGCUUUGCAACGGUCCUCUGUCUUUUCCAGCAACAUGCUAUUUUUUGUGGCACUACUUUCUGAAUGUUGUGCUACAGAUAUUGGCAUCAGUUUCCUGAUGUAGUCUUUCUUUCGGUGUAGGAUCAGACACAUCUCUUUGUAACAUUUCAGUGUUCUCUGAUGGAGUGUGAAAAAAAUAAAGAAUUUAAAGAGAUCGAACGCUGCA
rnacentral:lncRNA from 1 species